AUUUACAAGAUUAUCAUUGAUCAACACUUCAAUUAUGGGCCAAACCAACAUCAAGGCUCAGAAACCCAGUAAGGGGUUCACCUGGGGUCUGUCUGAAAACCAAGUGAGCUGCCUUGCUGCCUACUACCUACCUGGGCAGCUGCCUACGUAUUGAGGAUUCCAAUAAGACAUUGAACUUGGAAACAGUCAAGCUGGGCUGGAACAAGAAAGGGCCCUCCCUAAACUGAUGCUGUAAAGUUGGAAGCAUUUCAGCAUCUAUGGUUCGGGCUAAUGAGUUCAGUCCAUCCAUCUAGUUUUGAUUUGAGGGUCUCCAGGUUUCUCCAGAAUUGAAUCCAAUCUUCAAAUCACUCACAUAUCUCCUCCCGGUAUUGAUUUUCAGGAAAUGAGUCUCAGGCCAGAUUAUCCCGGUUUGCCAGAAUAUCAUCUUCAGGAUAAUGUGAUCUCAAACAGAAGAUUUGUUCAACCAUUCAUCCAAAAACUUAAGAUGAGCCAGAAGCGAAUCGUCAGCUGGUUGGCCCGAGCUCAUCAACCAUCAGGAGCAUCAACCAGAUGUAGAUACUCCUUAAAUGUAGCUUAAUCCAUCUUGGCCUGCAUGUAAACUAUAAAACAGGAAUAAAUCUGCCUC